CCUGGCGUAGACUACAGCUGUCUCGAUGGGAUCAAGACUUGCUGCGCUAGCGCUCUAUUCUAAUGUGUGAGAGCGGUGUGCACUGCUUUAACAGGUGGCAGACUUACCGGUGGGACGGGAGCACUGCCAGGGAUCAUGGGCUGAAUUAUCGCUUGGUGAAGAUGUGUGGAGUGCUGGAUUACUCAAAAAUCUAAUACGUCACGCUCACCUGCGUUUCCUAGCGAACGGUCAGGGGCGGAUCAGUUAGUCGCUUAGGCAAUUCUCAUCAAGCAAGGAUUCUGUGAUGUCCCCGAGAGCGGGAGCCCCGUCAGGGCAUUGAGACAAGGUAGUAUAUCCCACGGGGGAGCAGCUGUCGAGAAAAUUUAGCAGUUCUUGACAGUAAGUCAGAGAUCUCCCGAGUGACAUUCUAAGAGCAAUACUUAUCCCCAGUAUAAAAAGAUGGGGGAAUAAGGAGGGGGCAAGCACCGGCUCAGCCCUCUCCGUUAUACCAGGUAUCAGAGAAGAGCGGACACAGUUCAAAACUAAAGCAUUUGGGUACCCCCUAGAUAAGUCCUUUGGUAAAUCCUCCGAGUCAAUUGUUGCUCUUCGGGGGAUAGUGGUUGUCUAGGGGACGGGAGAGGUUCACGGUAUUUCCGGGGUAGGGGUGAAAUCCUAUAAUCCCGGGGGGCCCUUCCCUGGCCAAGGCCGUUGAUUGGACCCGAUCCUACGGUGAGGCAGAUAAAAUGGGGGAGCGAACCCCAUUUGAUACCCGGGUUGUUCCAAGUCUAAUCGAUGCAGGAUCAGUGUUUGGGCGUUCCCGAGCCUCCUUUUUUCCGCAGGGAAAGUGCUAAACCUGCCGCGAGGGGAGCACGGCCGCAAGGUUGGAAUUUACAGUCAACUGGCAUGUCUUAUCCCCACCCGAAUAGCAGUCGGGUCCGGCGGGAUCAACCGGA
rnacentral:rRNA from 1 species